UACGUAGGGUGCAAGCGUUAUCCGGAAUUAUUGGGCGUAAAGAGCUCGUAGGCGGUUUGUCACGUCUGCUGUGAAAACUGGAGGCUCAACCUCCAGCCUGCAGUGGGUACGGGCAGACUAGAGUGAGGUAGGGGAGAUUGGAAUUCCUGGUGUAGCGGUGGAAUGCGCAGAUAUCAGGAGGAACACCGAUGGCGAAGGCAGAUCUCUGGGCCGUAACUGACGCUGAGGAGCGAAAGCAUGGGGAGCGAACAGG
rnacentral:rRNA from 1 species